AACGAACGCUGGCGGCAGGCUUAACACAUGCAAGUCGAGCGCCCCGCAAGGGGAGCGGCAGACGGGUGAGUAACGCGUGGGAAUCUACCCAUCUCUACGGAAUAACGCAUGGAAACGUGUGCUAAUACCGUAUACGUCCUUCGGGAGAAAGAUUUAUCGGAGAUGGAUGAGCCCGCGUUGGAUUAGCUAGUUGGUGGGGUGAAGGCCUACCAAGGCGACGAUCCAUGGCUGGUCUGAGAGGAUGAUCAGCCACACUGGGACUGAGACACGGCCCAGACUCCUACGGGAGGCAGCAGUGGGGAAUAUUGGACAAUGGGCGCAAGCCUGAUCCAGCCAUGCCGCGUGAGUGAUGAAGGCCCUAGGGUUGUAAAGCUCUUUCACCGGUGAAGAUAAUGACGGUAACCGGAGAAGAAGCCCCGGCUAACUUCGUGCCAGCCGCCGCCGUAAAAC
rnacentral:rRNA from 1 species